CUAACGGCGUUUAUGGGGCAGAGUUACAACGUGAUUACUCACCCGUCCGCCACUCGUUGGCGGACCAAAAUCUAUCAGGUGCAAGCACCAUCAAUCAAUUGGGCCAACGCGUUCGACUUGCAUGUAUUAGGCACACCGCCGGCGUUCAUCCUGAGCCAUGAUCAAACUCUA
rnacentral:rRNA from 1 species